rnacentral:lncRNA from 1 species
UGGGCCUUGAGUCUCUGUCCCCGCCGCCCUCCAAGGCCACUUGGAUCCUCCGGGACCCAGCAGGAAGGAAGCCUUUGCUGGCCUCUGGCUUCAGCGUCCAGGACACUUCCCGCGCCCCCUCCUGCCUGAGCAGAGCCCAGCUUGAAUCCAUCCCUUUGACUUGGGGGAAGCACCGCCCUGCUUUGGCCUCACUUCGGGGGCCAAAUAUUUCAAUUAUGAGGACGUGGUCAAGCCCUGCCCACUCCAGCCUCAGUGACGGGCCGUGAAGAGAGGGUGUCUCUGGGGGGAGAGGUGGGCGGGAUGCAGAGGGAGCCGCAGACGGGAGAGGGGACGGGGGCUGAGCGGGGGUUGGCAGAGCAGACAGGCCUUCUCCGCUGGCUGAGAACAAAACCACCGGCAGCGAGGAAAAUAUGUGCGAGGCAUUUUUGCAAUUCCAAGAGGCUCGGUCCAGCUCUCGCCCAGACGGUCAAUGAAUCAAAGCUGGGAAAGGCUCUACCUGUCAGCAGACUUUCUCCUGGCCCUGCUCACCAAGGCCCCACCCCUCUGGCCCCAGCAGGCCAGCUGGAACCCUCCCAGUUCCCCAGAAGGACGGUUCUUCGAAGAAGAGUGUGUCACAAGCAAAAGCCAGAGGCAGGCAGCCCACGGGCAGAACCCUUGGCAUCCUUCUCUGCCUGUUCUUCUCGCAGGAGCGUAGCCUGUGUCGCCUGUUACCUUGGGUUGAAUGGUGGCUCCCGAAAAGAUAUUUCCACGUCCUGGUCCUUGGAACCUGUGAAGGUGUCCUUAUUUGGAAACAGAAUCUUUGCAGAUUAAUUAAGUUAAAGAUCUCGAGGUGAGAGCAUCCCAGAUUAUCUGAGUGAGCCCCAAAUCCAAGGACAAGUGUCCCUAUAAGAGACAAAGAGGAAAGAAGAGGAGAAGACCAUGGGAAGGUGGAGGCCGAAAUCGGAGUGAUGCGGCCACAAGCCAAGGAAUGCCUGGGGCCACCAGAAGCUGGAAGAGGAGGAUCCUGUCCCCAGCCCACAGCAGGCCUGUCUGGCCUGACCCCAGCGGCCAGGCUGGAGGACCAGGAGGGCUGUGCUCUAUGGGCUUCCUGCGGAGGCAGCUCAGACCCCCUGGGCUGGCCAGCAACUGGGAGCAAAAUGGGCCAGAGGCUCACUCCCACCCGCCUGACCCGGACGUCCUGGAGCCUCAGAGACUCACAGCUUCAGAGAUAGGAGAGUUUUUGUGGGAAUCCAGGCCCAGAGAGGAGCAGCGGCUUACUUGAGGGAAUACAGCCAGGACUCAGCCCAGAAUCACCUACUCCAGGAAGCCUUACUGGAUUGCCUUUCCCUUUGCUCCAGCUCCCCAUCCCCAGACAUUUCUAUGAAUGAGAUCAAAGAAUAUGCGGACUUUUGUGACUGGCUUCUUUCACUUAGAAUAACAUUUUCAAGGUUCAUCUAUGUUGUGCCACCCGAGCAGGUGUGGAGUGGGGAGCUUCACACCUUUUCAUUGCCAGGCAGCAAGGCGUGGUGACGGAGCCCUGAAGACAGACCCAGGGCUGGAAGCCCAACUCUUCACUUCUGUUGGGUCUUUCUGCCUCGCUGAGCCUCAUCAUUCUCUUCUGUGGAAUGGAACCACAGCACGUGGAUGAGAGACAGUGAAUGUAAGGUGUUUAGCAUAGUUGCUGGCAUACAACACAUGCUCAAUAAAUGUGAACUAUAAUAACAGCUACAGUGCUCACUCCAAAAACCUUGCACAGUUUCUGGCACACCGUAGGCCCUCGUGGGUGUGGGUGGAGUAACUGAUGGCAAGUGUGCCCCGGGAAGGGCGCCAGCUGAGGGCCUGGGCAGGCCUGGAGGGGGCCCUGGGAGGAGCUCACAGCCUCUGGCUCAGGGGCCCCUUGGCCAGAGCCCUGUCCAGCCCAGCUCUUGUCUGGCAUGGGGAGCAGUUUUAUUUCUACAGGCGUUUUGCGACUCAGCACAUGUAAGCUUCCUCCUGAUGGUUUGAAUUAGAAAGCAGCUGAUGCCUUCUGGAAAACCCAGGGAAAAACAUUAUUGUUGGAGGCCAGUCUCCUCAUUGGCAGAGCCGACUGCACUGGUCUGGCAUUCCGGAGCACAAAAGCCUUCGCCGGCAAAAUCGGAGCCUUCCCAUCGGGGCUCCCCUCCUCUCCGCCCUCCCUCUCAUCCAGCCCUGGCUGGGCCUGGCAAGUGCUGGCUGCCGGAUGGGAGUCAGGACAAGAAUCCUCUGGCUGUCUAGGCCCGUCCACUCCAGCAGCAAGUUGGUGGACGAGGUCUGACUCAACUCCCAGCCUGGCAAAUGUCUGGGGUCUGGCGUGCAGACGAAGGUGGUACCCACUGCAGGGAACAGGGCCAGGAGGAAGGUGGCAACAGGCUGGCUAGACACGGAGAUCGGAAAAGGAGAGAGUGUUACUGCUCUUAUUGGACGAAUGAGGAAACUGAGGCUCAGAGAGGUGAUGUCAGCUGCCCACGGUCACAGAGCCAGCAAGUGGUAGCCUGAGGACUAGACCCCAGGCCUGCUCUGAGGCCCACCUUGCCUUUUUGCACUGAGAAUGGGGGUAAAAGCACUUUGUGAACCAAAAGGCAUGGUAUACCUGGGAGGGUUUUAAAUACCAUUCCUAUUGCUGUUUUCCUGGGGAGGUGGUCAGAAGCUGGCAUGGCCUCCCCUCCAGCCGGCCAUCGGCCUUGCUGCAGCUUCUGCUUGGUCACCAACAGUUCGAGCCACAUGACCAGGGCUGCCUUAUCUCCUCGAGGGUGGCAGGCCCCUGUUCCCAGAAGCCCGGCUUCAGAUGGGCAGCAGCGAUUGUAGAGAUCUGCAGGGCCCCGAUAAAGCCGCUGCAGCAGGGGACAGACGGAUGGAAGUUCCCCUCAUGCCACUUCCUUCAGUGGCUGGUAUGGCCCCAGCUCCUUAAGCUCUUCCACUUCCUCACAAGGAUAGGGGCCCGGAGUGGCCAACAGAGCUCAGUGGGGUUCAGUCCCCAGUAACCCGCCCCCAUUCCUGGCAUCCCCCCUUCACGGCCCUGGGUCUAGGACCCUGGCCAUGAGGGUGCUCUUGUCUCCACCCCAGGGAGUGUUGGGACGAGCAGACGAGGUGACACUCGAUGUGCACGCGAGAGGCUGACGCUCUUUAUCCAUCUCCCCAGUCCGUGUGCCUUAGCCAUGUUGUCCCUCUUCUUUUCUGUGAUCUUUCCAAACCCUGCCCCUCCUAUAAGGGUGAGUCUGAAUGUCACCUUCUCCCCAAAGCUGUCCUGGACCUCCUCUGGCCUGUCACCUCCUGUGCUUCCUCUCGCAGCAUUGGAAUCGGCCCCUUCAGAGAAUAAAAGGACGGGAAGGAUGGCUAUCCACGUGCUGAGCCACAAAUGACUUUGACACUUUUCCCCUGCUGUGUAUGUGUUUGCGUCCCAUCUUUUCUGCACUGUGCAUAAUUUCCUUGUAUAAUUAGAAAAGAAUUCCAAAUAAAUGCUAUUGUCGAGAAGGAUCUGCUCCACUUGGUGGAACGCUUCAUUGAAACCAUGAGCCUUGCGUCUGUCAGUGCUGCGUUGACCGUGGUGGUCCAGGCAGUGGGUCUUACACCUGAUGCCCUGUGCACACCCACUCACCAUGGGACACGGAGCAGCAAUUCAUUCCCUUCGGGUGUGACUCUCACGAACUCACCAGCCUCACCUUUGUCCGCUCCAGCCCCGGGGACAUCCACCACUAUCUGUUGGAGGUGUCCCCGGAGUCCUCACCCACUCUCCCAUUUCCAAGGUCCAAGAUGCUGUCACAGUGCAGCUCAAAUUCCAUCUCCUCUGGGCUUCCUGGCCAUGCCUGCCCUGAGCCCGGCUCCUUCUUGGCCUCAGGUUGCUGAUUAACUGCCUCCCCCGCUAGACCGUAAGUUCCUUAGGAACAGGGGACACAUCCCACACCUCCCCGCCUCCCAGCGCCUGGCAUGGAGCCCGGCACACAGCAGAGCAGGUGCUCAGGAAGAAGUCGAGUGCAGGAACCCUAAGAGUGAUGAUCACGGUUAUGAUGAUGGCAGCCACUGUUUCCCGGACACUGACCUUGAACCUCCACCGCUCAGCUCGUUACCUGGAUUAUGUCAUGUAACCCCCAGCAACCUAGAGACUCAGGUGCUGAUAAGUGCAUCUUACAGAGGAGAAAAGGCAACCGUGAAAGGAAGGCCUGGACAUCAGACUGUGUGCUGGGGGCGGGAUGCUGGGGUGGCGAACCACCUCCUCCUGCCUUAGUUUCCUCUGCUGUACAGGGGCCUGACACCUGUGCUCCUUUCCUCCCUCCAGGGGGCUGUCGGGGUCGAACAGGACAGCGAGCACGUCAUCGAGUGCAAACAGCUGCAUAAAUGCAUGGCGUGGUGGA